rnacentral:rRNA from 1 species
AAUACAUGGGUAAUCUGCCCUCGAGUUGGGGAUAACCAGUCGAAAGAUUGGCUAAUACCGGAUAAGACCACAAGAUCUGCGGAUCAAGGGGUUAAAGGUUUUUCGCUUGAGGAUGAGCCCAUGUGGGAUUAGCUAGUUGGUGAGGUAAUGGCUCACCAAGGCGACGAUCCCUAACUGGUCUUAGAGGAUGAUCAGUCACACUGGAACUGAGACACGGUCCAG